GUUAAAAGGGCGAGCUGACAGCCAUGCCGCGUGUGUGAAGAAGGUCUUCGGAUUGUAAAGCACUUUAAGUUGGGAGGAAGGGCAGUAAGUUAAUACCUUGCUGUUUUGACGUUACCGACAGAAUAAGCACCGGCUAACUUCGUGCCAGCAGCCGCGGUAAU
rnacentral:rRNA from 1 species